rnacentral:lncRNA from 1 species
AGGGAUCGGAAUCCUGGUCCACUCCGCAGAGGCCCGAGCGGGCUCGCGAGGGAACGGGUUCUCCGAGUCUGGCCGGGGGUUUUGAGCCUAGAGAAGGAAGAUCGGAGCUUCCUGGGGCUCCUGUGAAGCAGGCAGGGGGCAGCACUGGGCCCCGGGAAGAGGCGGAGAAGGCGAGGGAGUGCCUGCGGUGAGCCCAGAGCCUUGGGCCCGUUAUCCUCUGAUGCUGCUCCCCCAACUUUCCUGCCGUCAGUCCCUGACCUUGCCUGAGACCUUGGCGGCUCCCGCACCUCUCUCCCGGCUCCUCCUUGCUGAGAACACAACCCGCAAGGCCCUUCCGCCUGGCUGGACUGAGUCCCCUAUGGAGGCAGCCUGGCAGGGAGCAGGUAUCUUCCUGGCAGAAGAGGACAGACCUGCUUCUGCUUUGUAAUCAUACGGACAGUUGUGCUUGUCAGAGUUAACGGUGAAGUCCACAAAACAAAUUUCCACAUCGGCAGUCAAACCUGUAAGACCAACUUUCUUUCUGCACAUGAAACAUCUGUUUUUCUUUGGUUUGGGCAAUUCAGGAGCUUUUUCUUUACUCUGAGAAGUACUGGGCUGAAAAACUGAUGGGCUGGGCUGAGUGACAACUGGCUCUCACACCUCUGUUUUCGGGGUAGUUAUUUUGUCCUCUGUUGAAAUGCUCAUUUCUGUCAUUUGCUGAGUUACAGGCAAGGCAGCCGCAGGCACAUUUCUUGAUUUUUCAGAUGUGCUGCCAGCAGCACCUUCACAGUUGUUUAAGCUAGUGUCUGCUCUCUGUACAGAUGCAGAAUCUGAGGUAGGACUGUUGGAACCACUAGCUGUCCCCAUUGGGCUCAUUCUGCCACUAUUCUGCUGCCUCUGAAGAUGUUCUUUGUAGCAAACUGAACACAUUCCAUUUGUCCUAGGAUUUCCAUAAAAGCCACAUCCUGUGCUACACAGCAUGGGCCCCGGGGUCUGGUUAGUCUCCUGAGCCAUAUUUUUCUGCCAGGUCU